CAAUUGGCCCUUUUCAGGGCCAACAUACGUUCAUAAAAGAGUUUAUU
rfam:Aedes aegypti strain Liverpool supercont1.158 genomic scaffold, whole genome shotgun sequence.